UAUGUCCUACGGGGGGCAGCAGUGAGGAAUAUUGGUCAAUGGCCGGAAGGCUGAACCAGCCAAGUCGCGUGAGGGAAUAAGGCCCUAUGGGUCGUAAACCUCUUUUGUCAGGGAGCAAAGGCGUCCACGUGUGGACGAGAGGAGAGUACCUGAAGAAAAAGCAUCGGCUAACUCCGUGCCAGCAGCCGCGGUAAUACGGAGGAUGCGAGCGUUAUCCGGAUUUAUUGGGUUUAAAGGGUGCGCAGGCGGCCUGUUAAGUCAGCGGUAAAAGCCCGGGGCUCAACCCCGGCGAGCCGUUGAAACUG
rnacentral:rRNA from 1 species